UGGGGAAUCUUGGACAAUGGGCGAAAGCCUGAUCCAGCCAUGCCGCGUGAGUGACGAAGGUCUUCGGAUUGUAAAGCUCUUUUGGCGGGGACGAUAAUGACGGUACCCGCAGAAUAAGCCCCGGCUAACUUCGUGCCAGCAGCCGCGGUAAUACGAAGGGGGCUAGCGUUGUUCGGAAUUACUGGGCGUAAAGCGCACGUAGGCGGAUUUGUAAGUCAGGGGUGAAAUCCCGGGGCUCAACCUCGGAACUGCCCUUGAUACUGCAAAUCUCGAGUCCGAUAGAGGUGAGUGGAAUUCCUAGUGUAGAGGUGAAAUUCGUAGAUAUUAGGAAGAACACCAGUGGCGAAGGCGGCCAACUGGCUCGAUACUGACGCUGAGGUGCGAAAGCGUGGGGAGCAAACAGGAUUAGAUACCCUCGUAGUCCCUGAGCGGGCUGGCAAGGCGCAU
rnacentral:rRNA from 1 species